rnacentral:rRNA from 1 species
AUGCACGCUAGCGGCAGGCCUAACACCUGCCAGUCGAGGGAGAAGCCCUUUCGGGGGCAGAAACCGGCGCACGGGUGCGUAACGCGUAUGCAACCUACCUUUCACAGGGGGAUAGCCCGAAGAAAUUUGGAUUAAUACCCCAUAAUAUUAUUGGAUGGCAUCAUUUGAUAAUUAAAACUGCGGUGGUGAAAGAUGGGCAUGCGUCCUAUUAGCUAGUUGGAGUGGUAACGGCACCCCAAGGCUACGAUAGGUAGGGGUCCUGAGAGGGAGAUCCCCCACACUGGUACUGAGACAGGGACCAGACGCCUACGGGAGGCAGCAGUGAGGAAUAUAGGGCAAUGGUCGGAAGACUGAACCAGCCAUGCCGCGUGCAGGAAGAAUGCCUUAUGGGUUGUAAACUGCUUUUAGAUGGGAAGAAUAAGGCGUACGUGUACGUUGAUGACGGUACCAUAUGAAUAAGCAUCGGCUAACUCCGUG